rnacentral:lncRNA from 1 species
GCAGUCACCACAGCUGCAAGAGCGCCUGGGAUGGGCAGCUCUCUCCAACUGCCUGUUCUUUUUACAGCCUGACUCUGGAUAGAAUCUCCUCACUUCAUAUCAAAGGAUGAACUAGAAACUUCGAGGUGCCCUAGGAAGAUUAGCCCUGAGCUAACUACUGGCAAUCCUCCUCUUUUUGCUGAGGAAGACUGGCUCUGAGACGUGCGCUGACAAUAAAGAUUCUUCUAACAAGCCUGAAAAGGAGUUGUGUUAACAGCCAUAAAUGUCAUCAACUUCAUCAGAGACACAUCUUUGUGUCAAAUGCAUUUUAAAAUUUUUGUAAAGAUAUGAUCGCAAAAUAUGAAUUCCUUCAUCACCACACAGAAGCUCACUGGUGCUCAUGAGGCUAUGCCUUCAAGUGCAUUUUCCAGCUAAGGGCAGAAGUUUUUCCUUAACUGAAAUUUAAAAAAGAAAGAAAGAAAGAAAGUCCACUCUUGGAACAUUAUGAGAAAAGGAAUUUUAUCCAUGCAUUGUCUUACCUGGCAUAUACUUUUAACCAUGUGAAUGAGUUAAACCUUUCAGUUCAAUGUUAUGAAGUCAACAUUAUAGAUGCUUCUUAAAAAAUUAAAAACAUUCUCAAAGUGAUCGAUAAGGAAGAAACUGGAGAAUAUGCUUUUC